UACGUAGGUGAACCUGCGGAAGGAUCAUUG
rnacentral:rRNA from 3 species